rnacentral:rRNA from 1 species
GAUGAACGCUGGCGGCGUGCCUAAUACAUGCAAGUCGAGCGAACGGACGAGAAGCUUGCUUCUCUGAUGUUAGCGGCGGACGGGUGAGUAACACGUGGAUAACCUACCUAUAAGACUGGGAUAACUUCGGGAAACCGGAGCUAAUACCGGAUGAUAUUUUGAACCGCAUGGUUCAAAAGUGAAAGACGGUCUUGCUGUCACUUAUAGAUGGAUCCGCGCUGCAUUAGCUAGAUGGUAAGGUAACGGCUUACCAAGGCAACGAUGCAUAGCCGACCUGAGAGGGUGAUCGGCCACCAUGGAACUGAGACACGGUCCAGACUCCUACGGGAGGCAGCAGUAGGGAAUCUUCCGCAAUGGGCGAAAGCCUGACGGAGCAACGCCGCGUGAGUGAUGAAGGUCUUCGGAUCGUAAAACUCUGUUAUUAGGGAAGAACAUAUGUGUAAGUAACUGUGCACAUCUUGACGGUACCUAAUCAGAAAGCCACGGCUAACUACGUG